GAUCGGACUGUCCUUGGGUUCCUGUAUGGAUCAGCAAAGGUGGAAGAAAGUCAUUGUAUUUGCAAGUCCCAAAUCGAAGAAAAGUUGUGGUCAUAACGGUAAUGAGCUCAACCCCGCGGGAGACAUCACAGGACAAUUGAUCAUUUAGUUAUCAUCACUGCGCUAAGUCAUAGUAGUUUUGUUACAUUAACAGUAUACGUGUACACAAAACAAUGGAAUGUUUACUUGCAGGUGCCAUACGAUGAUGAACAACAACAGGAGACUAAUAAAACAUUACAAAGUAAUUAAUAAUGUAUUAUGUCAAUUCAGCAUUCUGAUGUAUGGCAAUAGAAGCUGAAUGUUAUCUGAGUUGUGAAACAUCACAAAGUAAUUAAACAGGAUUAAUUUUAAUAAUGCCUGCAGCACAAUGACAAAAAAGAAAGAACAUAAAAAAAAAGGUAGGAGAAGGUGCAACAGGAGGCAACCAUGGGUUGCAAAUCUCUUAAUGCAUGGUUAAAUCCCAAGUACUAGCGGCAGCAGCACACAAGAGAGAACAGAUAAUUCAGACUUCAAAAAGGUAGGCCUUACAAGCAACACCUGAGAAGAGACUUUAUGUGCAACACCAGAGAAAGAGGACAAGUCUUCAGAUGCAACACCUGACACAAGUCAUAGAUGACCAAGAACUCACGAGCAAUAUUAGAGGAGAGAAAGAGACCAAAGGAAGGCUAACUGGAUAAUGUUGAGUCUGAGGAAGCAAUCGAGGAAGGUACAAGUAAUGUAGAACAGGCCCUAUUGAAGCAUUUUUAAAGUAAUAGAUCCAGUCCACAACCAAGCGUUUGAUCUCAAGUGUAAGGCCAGCAAUGUCAAAAUGUGUUGAUAGAGGACCACGUCAACCUUUUCUUAGAUGUGGUAUGAAAAUAAGCCAUGGUUGGAGUAUUCACUGGACAAGGACACAACCUACUGCUUCAGCUGUUGGCUUUUUCUAAGUGAAGAAAAGUACAGUGACAAGACUGCUCAGACAGUGGCUGGUAAACAACUGGAAAAGAGGGCUUUAAAAAAAAUGCAAGAGUACUUACUUAACAAGCAUGGUGUGAUGAAACACAAAAAAAGAAAGCAGCUUUUGAUGUAUCAGAAGUUCAAGGCAGGGCGAUAGAGAAACAAAGAAACAAAGUUUGACUAGAUUAAUUUGCGCAAUUUCAUAUUGUACGACAGGGGAAGGCUUUCAGGGGUGAGAACGAGUCUGCCACAAGCUGGAUAACAUAUCAAGAGGUUUUGCUCCUCUCUAACAGAACACCAAAUGAUCUCAUAAAAGCCCUGGCCACAUUCACAAAGAGAGAGACAGGGAAAGAAAUGGACGAGGUUAAAAUAUAUUUGAUUCCCGUAGACAAAAACCAAUGCUGUAUCUCAUCACAGGCAGGUCACCUUUGUUGUGUGACAAGAUAGAGAAUACAGUUCUUGACUAGCUACGGAGACAUGUCCUACUGAUCCAUAAAACACGUGGUCAAGGCUAUGGUAUCGAUGCUAGCAUGAGUGGUCAACACAAAAGAACUGGAAUCAAGAAUACUGCAACACAAUGACAAAGGUUCUGUAUGUGCAUUGCGUUGUUUUUUUGACCCCUACAAACUCAGGGUACAGCCCUGUUCACCGCAUAUAUUGUAUAUUGGAGUGUGGACACCUUGUCCAACCUGAGGACAGAAGGACAGUUUGGAACACUGUUUAAGAAUGCCACUGAAAAGGCAGAAGCCGCUGGGAUCAGCAUCCCAACAGGCCCCCAUGACAGAAAAAGCAGAGGAGGGUGCCUGCAAAUAAAGACAGAGAGCAUCUCCUUCCAGCCAGUGGAAGACUACAAUAGGAAUAUGUGGUAUCCAUUCAUUGAUGUUCUUUCUGAGAAACUACACAAGAUUUAGGGUUUUCAAGAGCUACUGACCCAUAUGGAGCCUAAUCACAAACCCUAUCAAGACAAACUAUUACAAGUCGUAUUAAAGCUAGUUUUGCUAAGAAAAAAAAAAACUGAAAACGCAAUUUAGUAGUGCUAGGUUUGGGGUCCUUACAACCAACUGCUGGACAGCGCCCUCAAUGGAGAGCUACAUGACAAUUACACGCCACAAAAAUCGAUGAGGACUGGCAGGUUAAAGUGUUAAAUUGGUGCAGCAGAGACUUGAGGACUUAUGGGAAAGUGGCUGCAUGUGUCCACAACAAUGCAUGCAACAUCAUGGCUGCGAACUCUCCUGGAUGGAUGACCUGGGAGUGGCUGUUUUGCCCAUUCACUUCAGCACAUUACUGUGAUUAUCACUGACAUAAAAGUGUGUUAUCAGUUAAGAGGGACAUUAUCACAUUAAUUAGACUAUAUUGUUCACCACAGGUUGACACAGAUGAGUUGGUGGCCAAACCAGCACUGAUCGCCUCUGUCCUGGACCCUCGCCAUACACAUCUGGGGGAUUUUUCCACCAAGAGAGAAGCUGCAAAAGAUAAUGGAAAUCUGUUCUACUGUGGAAGUGGCCAGUGCCACUGAUGAUGAUGAUGAUGAUCCUGGUACUGUCGCUACAGGGGGAGAUGAGAAAGCGGCCCCUGCUGCCCAGGCUGGAGUCACACAAUACCGCCAGGAAAAUGUAAUGAUAUCGCUCCUGGGAGGCGACUACAGCAUCCCUCAACAAGCUAAUGACCCAGAGGUGGAGGUGGACACCUAUGUUAGAGACGAUCACCCCUCAUUGACUGGUGGAAAGGUUGGCAACAGUAGCAAGAUGCCAUCUCUGCGUUCCCGGGACAUUGGUACCAUCUGUGGGUAUCCUCCACUGCUGGUCUCAUAGUCAACACACUGCAUACCAGACAAUGUCGACAUGUUGCUAUUUCUGAAUAAAAACCAGCAGACAAGCUGUUCAGUGGUGAA